rnacentral:rRNA from 1 species
GAACGCGAAGAACCUUACCUGGGCUUGACAUACACCGGACCGCAUCUGAAAGGAUGCUUCCCUUCGGGGUCGGUGAACAGGUGCUGCAUGGCUGUCGUCAGCUCGUGCCGUGAGGUGUUGGGUUAAGUCCCGCAACGAGCGCAACCCUCGCCCUUAGUUGCCAUCAGGUUAUGCUGGGAACUCUAAGGGGACUGCCAGUGAUAAGCUGGAGGAAGGUGGGGAUGAUGUCAAGUCAUCAUGGCCCUUACACCCAGGGCUACACACGUACUACAAUGGGCCGGUACAGAGGGCUGCAAGACUGCAAAGUGGGAGCCAAUCCCUAAAACCGGUCUCAGUUCAGAUUGAAGUCUGCAACUCGACUUCAUGAAGGUGGGAAUCGCUAGUAAUCGCAGAUCAGCACGCUGCGGGUGAUUACGUUCCCGGGGUCUGGUAC